GGAGCCUGAUCGAGCACGCCGCGUGGGGGACGAAGACCUUCGGGUUGUAAACUCCUGUCGGACGGGAAGAACAUCGUGGGGGCUAAUACCCUUGGCCCCUGACGGUACCGUUCCAGGAAGCCCCGGAUAACUUCGUGCCAGCAGCCGCGGUAAUACUAGGGGGGCAAGCGUUGUUCGGAAUUACUGGGCGUAAAGGGCUCGUAGGCGGUCUGACAAGUCUUCCGUGAAAGCCCACGGCUCAACCGGGGAACUGCGGGGGAUACUGGAGGACUUGAGUCCGGGAGGGGAGAGUGGAAUUCCCAGUGUAGCGGUGAAAUGCGCAAAUAUUGGGAGGAACACCCGUGGCGAAGGCGUCUUCCUGGACCGGUACUGACGCUGAGGAGCGAAAGCCAGGGGAGCCAACGGGAUUAAAUACCCCGGUAGUCCUGGCCGUAAACGAUGACCGCUGGGUGUGGUGGGUAUCGAUCCCUGCCGUGUCGCAGCUAACGCAUUAAGCGUUCCGCCUGGGGAGU
rnacentral:rRNA from 1 species